GUGCUCACUUCUGCACCACAUAUACUAAAAUUGGACUGAUACAGAGGUUAGGAUGGCUCCUGUGAAAGGAUGAGAUGCAAAUCUAUGAAGUAUUUUAUAUUUUU